rnacentral:rRNA from 1 species
UACGGGGGGGGCAAGCGUUGUUCGGAAUUACUGGGCGUAAAGGGCUGGUAGGCGGCCAACUAAGUCGGAUGUGAAAUCCCCAGGCUUAACCUGGGAACUGCAUCCGAUACUGGUCGGCUUGAAUCCGGGAGAGGGAUGCAGAAUUCCAGGUAGCGGUGAAAUGCGUAGAUAUCUGGAGGAAUACCGGUGGCGAAGGCGGCAUCCUGGACCGGCAUUGACGCUGAAAAGCGAAAGCUAGGGGAGCAAACGGG